AAAACGACUCUCGGCAACGGAUAUCUAGGCUCUCGCAUCGAUGAAGAACGUAGCGAAAUGCGAUACUUGGUGUGAAUUGCAGAAUCCCGCGAAUCAUCGAGUUUUUGAACGCAAGUUGCGCCCGAAGCCUUUCGGCCGAGGGCACGUCUGCCUGGGUGUCACAC
rnacentral:rRNA from 4 species